CAAUAGCGUAUAUUAAAGUUGUUGCGGUUAAAAAGCUCGUAGUUGGAUUUCUGCCGAGGACGACCGGUCCGCCCUCUGGGUGAGUAUCUGGCUCGGCCUGGGCAUCUUCUUGGAGAACGUAGCUGCACUUGACUGUGUGGUGCGGUAUCCAGGACUUUUACUUUGAGGAAAUUAGAGUGUUUCAAGCAGGCUUACGCCUUGAAUACAUUAGCAUGGAAUAAUAAGAUAGGACCUCGGUUCUAUUUUGUUGGUUUCUAGAGCUGAGGUAAUGAUUAAUAGGGAUAGUUGGGGGCAUUCGUAUUUAACUGUCAGAGGUGAAAUUCUUGGAUUUGUUAAAGACGAACUACUGCGAAAGCAUUUGCCAAGGAUGUUUUCAUUGA
rnacentral:rRNA from 1 species